rnacentral:rRNA from 1 species
AAAGUAAGGGCGUAUGGGGAAUGCCUAGGCUCUCAGAGGCGAAGAAGGACGUGAUAAGCUGCGAUAAGUUGCGGGGAUUGGCACAUACAAAUUGAUCCGCAAAUUUCCGAAUGGGGCAACCCACUAUGUUGAAGACAUAGUACCUUUAAUUAGGAGCAAACCCGGGGAACUGAAACAUCUAAGUACCCGGAGGAAGAGAAAACAAUAGUGAUUUCGUUAGUAGCGGCGAGCGAACGCGAAUUAGCCCAAACCAGAUUUGUUACGGCAAAUCUGGGGUUGUAGGACCACGAUAUUUGAAACACAAUGAAUUAGAAUCCUUUGGAAAGAGGAGCCAUAGACGGUGAUAGCCCGGUAUAAGUAAAGCGUGCGUAGAUAGUGGUAUCCUGAGUAGUGCGGGGCACGUGAAACCCUGUAUGAAUCAGCCGGGACCAUCCGGUAAGGCUAAAUACUCCUGAGAGACCGAUAGUGAACUAGUACCGUGAGGGAAAGGUGAAAAGAACCCUGAAUAAGGGAGUGAAAUAGAUCCUGAAACCAUACGCUUACAAGCGGUCGGAGCUGACUUGAUCAGUGACGGCGUGCCUUUUGCAUAAUGAGCCUACGAGUUACUUUAACUAGCAAGGUUAAGCACUUCAGGUGCGGAUCCGUAGCGAAAGCGAGUCUGAAUAGGGCGCUAUAGUUAGUUUGAGUAGACGCGAAACCGUGUGAUCUACCCUUGGGCAGGUUGAAGCUGUGGUAACACAUAGUGGAGGACCGAACCCGUUGACGUUGAAAAGUCUUGGGAUGACCUGAGGGUAGGGGUGAAAGGCCAAUCAAACUCGGAAAUAGCUCGUACUCCCCGAAAUGCAUUUAGGUGCAGCGUUGAUUUAUAGUUUUAUAGAGGUAGAGCUACUGAUUGGAUGCGGGGGCUUCACCGCCUACCAAUUCCUGACAAACUCCGAAUGCUAUAAAAUGUUAAUCAGCAGUGAGGGCAUGGGUGCUAAGGUCCAUGUCCGAGAGGGAAAGAACCCAGAUCACCAGCUAAGGUCCCAAAGUAUAUACUAAGUUGAUAUAACGCGGUGGAACUGCAUUGACAGCCAGGAUGUUGGCUUGGAAGCAGCCAUUCAUUUAAAGAGUGCGUAACAGCUCACUGGUCGAGCGGUUCCGCAUGGAUAAUAAUCGGGCAUAAGUAUAUCACCGAAGCUGUGACUUCAUAUUUAUAUGAGGGGUAGGGGAG